rnacentral:tRNA from 1 species
GGAAGUAUGGCUUAGUGGUAGGGUGCGUGCCUGGCAUGCAUAAGAUCCUGGGUUCAAUCCCUAGAACCUCCA